ACGAACAGAUCUGUCGUUGUCGUU
rnacentral:snRNA from 1 species